rnacentral:tRNA from 1 species
GGUCUCGUGGUGUAGUGGUUAUCACGUCUGCCUGUCACGCAGAAGAUCGCGAGUUCGAACCU